rnacentral:rRNA from 1 species
AUCCGCCAUAAUAGCUUCGAUCCAAGAGGGGGAACCUUCGGCCUUUCGGUCAGAUAUGCCCAGGUGGGAUAGCUAGUUGUGAGGUAUGACCACCAGGCGACGAUCCCUAGCUGUCUGAGAGGAUGAUCAGCACCACUGGAACUGAGACACGGUCCAGACUCCUACGGGAGGCAGCAGUGGGAAUAUUGCACAAUGGGCGCAAGCCUUGAUGCAGCCAUGCCGCGUGUAUGAAGAAGGCUUUCGGGUUGUAAAGUACUUUCAGCAGUGAGGAAGGCAGGUACGUUAAUAGCGUGCUUGUUUGACGUUAGCUGCAGAAGAAGCACCGGCUAACUCCGUGCCAGCAGCCGCGGUAAUACGGAGGGUGCGAGCGUUAAUCGGAAUUACUGGGCGUAAAGCGCAUGCAGGUGGUUUGUUAAGUCAGAUGUGAAAGCCCGGGGCUCAACCUCGGAAUUGCAUUUGAAACUGGCAGACUAGAGUACUGUAGAGGGGGGUAGAAUUUCAGGUGUAGCGGUGAAAUGCGUAGAGAUCUGAAGGAAUACCGGUGGCGAAGGCGGCCCCCUGGACAGAUACUGACACUCAGAUGCGAAAGCGUGGGGAGCAAACAGGAUUAGAUACCCUGGUAGUCCACGCCGUAAACGAUGUCUACUUGGAGGUUGUGGCCUUGAGCCGUGGCUUUCGGAGCUAACGCGUUAAGUAGACCGCCUGGGGAGUACGGUCGCAAGAUUAAAACUCAAAUGAAUUGACGGGGGCCCGCACAAGCGGUGGAGCAUGUGGUUUAAUUCGAUGCAACGCGAAGAACCUUACCUACUCUUGACAUCCAGAGAACUUUUCAGAGAUGAAUUGGUGCCUUCGGGAACUCUGAGACAGGUGCUGCAUGGCUGUCGUCAGCUCGUGUUGUGAAAUGUUGGGUUAAGUCCCGCAACGAGCGCAACCCUUAUCCUUGUUUGCCAGCACUUCGGGUGGGAACUCCAGGGAGACUGCCGGUGAUAAACCGGAGGAAGGUGGGGACGACGUCAAGUCAUCAUGGCCCUUACGAGUAGGGCUACACACGUGCUACAAUGGCGCAUACAGAGGGCGGCCAACUUGCGAAAGUGAGCGAAUCCCAAAAAGUGCGUCGUAGUCCGGAUCUGGAGUCUGCAACUCGACUCCAUGAAGUCGGACAUCGCUAGUAAUCGUGAUCUUCAACGUUAUAGGUCUUGG